UCUGGGAUUAGAUACCCUGUUAUUAAAAAUGUAAAUUAUAAUCUAAGGUAGUAACAGUUAUGUUCUUUAAACUUAAAAAAUUUGGCGGUAUUUUAGUCUAUUCAGAGGAACUUGUUCUAUAAUCGAUAAUCCCCGAUGGACCUUACUUAAAUUUGUAAUCAGUUUAUAUACCGUCGUUAUUAGAAAAUUUUACUAGAAAGUUAAUUUUCAUAAUUUUUUAUAAAAAAAUAUAUCAGAUCAAGGUGUAGCUAAUAUUUAAGUAGAAAUGAGUUACAAUAAAAUUAUUUAAAUGAAUAUAAAUUUUAAAGGUUUAUUGAAAGUGGAUUUGAUAGUAAAAUUAUAAAGAUAAAUAAUUUGAUUUUAGCCCUAAAAUAUGUACAAAUCGCCCGUCACUCUCUGA
rnacentral:rRNA from 1 species